CAGAAAUGGGGCAAAAUACGCGCCCGGUAAAAUGGAAUAUGGCCGACGUUUAAACGCGUCGGUUAUUUUUUUAC
rnacentral:sRNA from 1 species